UCCUUACCAGCGGGAAGGAGGAAGCCCAGGCUUCUGGGGUCAGGACGCUGAAUGCAUUUUACUUUUUGGCCACUUUCUCUUGAGGCCUGGGAUCUUUGCCUGCCGUCUGAGCCUCUUUCCCAUAGUACCACAGUGGGGUCUUGGGUCAUGCCAUCGGCCAGACUUUAAUUCAAGUGCUUUGGAAUCCCCACGUUCCAGCCGGCGAUGAGCCUGUGUCUGUCUGCUCUGGGGACCCAUACUCUGAGCCCCAAGUCCCGGGCCCGGCAGAGGACGCCAGACGAGGGGGCAGGUGGAACGUUCACUGUGGCCUGGGAGCCUGGAGUCGCCUGUCGGGACCAGGGAGGCUCCGAUGGCUACAGGUUUUCCUGCUGCUUUGGUUGAGGCAAAUCUGGAUUGCUUUAGCGUCCCGCUGUCACCCAGGACCUUGUCUUGGCCUCCCCUCGGGACCUCGGAAUCGAGCAGGUGUCCAGAGGGUUGGCUCAGCAUGUCGGUCAGCGUCCAUGAGACCCGCAAGUCGCGGAGCAGCACGGGCUCCAUGAACAUCACGCUGUUCCACAAGGCCUCGCACCCCGACUGCGUGCUGGCGCACCUCAACACGCUGCGCAAGCACCGCAUGUUCACGGACGUCACGCUCUGGGCCGGCGACCGCGCCUUCCCCUGCCACCGCGCCGUGCUGGCCGCCUCCAGCCGCUACUUCGAGGCCAUGUUCAGCCACGGCCUGCGGGAGAGCCGCGACGACACGGUCAACUUCCAGGACAACCUGCACCCCGAGGUGCUGGAGCUGCUGCUGGACUUCGCCUACUCGUCCCGCAUCGUCAUCAACGAGGAGAACGCAGAGUCGCUGCUCGAGGCGGGUGACAUGCUGCAGUUCCAUGACGUGCGUGAUGCAGCUGCCGAGUUCCUGGAGAAGAACCUGUUCCCGUCCAACUGCCUGGGCAUGAUGCUGCUGUCGGAUGCCCACCAGUGCCGCCGGCUCUACGAGUUCUCGUGGCGCAUGUGCCUGGUGCACUUCGAGGCCGUGCGGCAGAGCGAGGACUUCAACAGCCUGUCCAAGGACACCCUGCUGGACCUCAUCUCGAGUGACGAGCUGGAGGCGGAGGACGAGCGUGUGGUCUUUGAGGCCAUCCUGCAGUGGGUCAGGCACGACCUGGAGCGGCGCAAGGCCCACCUGCCUGAGCUGCUGCGCGGUGUGCGGCUGGCCCUGCUGCCGUCCGACUGCCUGAAGGAGGCCGUGUCGGGUGAGGCCCUGCUCAUGGCCGACGAGCGCACCCGGCUCAUCGUGGACGAGGCGCUGCGCUGCAAGGCCCGCAUCCUACAGAACGACGGCGUGGUCACCAGCCCCUGUGCCCGGCCGCGCAGGGCCGGACACACGCUGCUCAUCCUCGGGGGCCAGACCUUCAUGUGUGACAAGAUCUACCAGGUGGACCACAAGGCCAAGGAGAUCAUCCCCAAGGCGGACCUGCCCAGCCCCCGCAAGGAGUUCAGCGCCUCGGCCAUCGGCUGCAAGGUCUAUGUGACCGGGGGCCGGGGCUCCGAGAACGGGGUCUCUAAGGACGUGUGGGUGUACAACACCGUCCACGAGGAGUGGUCCAAGGCGGCGCCCAUGCUCAUCGCCCGCUUCGGCCACGGCUCGGCCGAGCUGGAGAACUGCCUCUACGUGGUCGGAGGGCACACGUCCCUGGCUGGCGUCUUCCCGGCCUCGCCGUCUGUCUCCCUGAAGCAGGUGGAGAAGUACGACCCCGGGGCUAACAAGUGGACGAUGGUGGCGCCGCUGAGGGAUGGCGUCAGCAAUGCCGCGGUCGUGAGCGCCAAGCUGAAGCUCUUUGUCUUCGGGGGGACCAGCAUCCACCGGGACAUGGUGUCCAAAGUCCAGUGCUACGACCCUGCAGAGAACCGGUGGACGAUCAAGGCCGAGUGUCCCCAGCCUUGGCGGUACACCGCUGCCGCCGUCCUGGGCAGCCAGAUAUUCAUCAUGGGAGGUGACACGGAGUACACAGCUGCCUCGGCCUACCGCUUCGACUGCGAGACCAACCAGUGGACGCGGAUCGGGGACAUGACUGCCAAGCGCAUGUCCUGCCACGCCCUGGCCUCGGGCAACAAGCUCUACGUGGUGGGGGGCUACUUUGGGACCCAGCGGUGUAAGACCCUGGACUGCUAUGACCCCACCUCGGACACGUGGAACUGCAUCACCACCGUGCCCUACUCACUCAUCCCCACGGCCUUCGUCAGCACCUGGAAGCACCUGCCCGCAUGAGGCGCACCUGUAGAGCCCAACCAGCUCUGAGGAGCCAGCCCCGUGCCGUUCAGGUCACAGGAACCCCGUCAGGAGCUGGCCAGAGCGGAGAAAUUAAUUUCCUCAAUGACCUGGCGGCUGCUGACAAGAACGCUGAAAGCUCUGCACGGCGAAAGCAAUCGUACUUAGCUGGGAUUGCUUCUGAAUGGAAUCUGAUGUCUCAGCUAUUAAAUCAAAUCCAGCCGUGCCUUCGAGGCCCUUAAAGAGAUGAGGAAACCAGGCCUCAGAGAAGCAACUGCCAGAAAUCAGGGUGGCGCAGACCAGGACGGCCAUGGGACGCGCCUGAGUGAUCCAGGCAGUGCGGCUCCCCAGCUCCUCUGCCUUCAGGGUGCCACCUCUUCCUCAGCAACUCGGGACAGCCCAGAAGGGCCACCCCCCAGCUCUUUUGUUAGUGUGUGAUGGCUGUAUACAUCUAUUCGUACGAGCCUGAAGUUUCUCCCACUGAAGGAUGAUCCAUGGAGACAGCAGUAGCUGUGUCUGCCCUUCCUGUUUCCCCAGGCCUGGAACGGUGCCUGCCGGUUUGAGGGUGCUCAGGUGCACAUGGCUGGAGGGGCUGAAUGGACCCAUGAGUAGUUCCCAUAUUCUAGACGCUGUGUGUUUCUCCCCACCCCAUGGCUGCAGCCCUCACUGUUGCACGGUGGCCCUGACCCUGUCUGCCACGGCGGGAAGCUCAGCCCGGCCCCAGGCCAGUACUCUGAGCAGCUGGAAGUCGGCCCCACCAGCUCUGGGUGGCUUCGGGGGCUGCUCUGAGUGGCUUUGGGGGCUGCUCUGAGCUUCAGAGAAGAAAAUCCAUCUCCAGCGCCCUGUGUGUCUGGCUGAGGCCUUUCCUGCUUUGCAGUGGUUUGCAGGGGAGAGGACCUUUCAAGGGGGGGUGUGGACGGAUGCCAGGACUCCCUCAGCCUCAGGGAGAAGGACAUGUUUGCAGAGCUUUGAGGUCGCCUAUUUCAGCAAGUUCUGGACUGGG